AAAAGAACUCCCUGAUGCCUGACAACAACAUUCCCCCUUCCCACGCCCUGGAUCCCCUCCCAGCCCACGGAUCCAACCACCAGCGCUGGAAAGCGACCCUGGACGGGGAGGAAUCCCUGCUGGGAUGGGAUCCACGGAAAUCUGGAGCUCCGGGGAGGCGCCUGGAGUGCAGGUCCAGAGCAGAUCCAGAGAAGGUCCAGAGCAGGUCCAGAGCAGGUCUAGAUGAGGUCCAGAGCAGGUCUAGAUGAGGCCCAGAGCAGGUCCAGAGCAGGUCUAGAUGAGGUCCAGAGCAGGU